rnacentral:tRNA from 1 species
GCUCUUGUAGUUCAGUUGGUUAGAGCACCCGUUUAGUAAGCGGGAGGUCUUGAGUUUAACUUUCAACAAGAACA